CGGAUCACCUGGGAGGCCAAAAUUAUCGGGAUUUUGACUCUCGGUUGAACUUGGCUCAUCCUUUUGCGGCAAGCUGUUGGUGCGGACUAGGUCGAGUCUCAGAGUUUCGGUUGUGGUUGUUAUGUCUGCCUCGUUAUAGUUAGAUUGUAGUUGUGUUUAGGUUUUUAUUUCUGUUCUCCGUUUCUUGUCGUCUCUGUAAUUCUGUCAAAAACGAAAAACUUUUGUAACAAUAUCUUAACAUUUUUAACAAAAAAAAAUGAUAAGAUUUUUGAGUAAUUUUUUUAGCCUUUGAUGGAUCUUUGACGGGUGUAAGUUACACGCGUUUUCAUUU
rnacentral:lncRNA from 1 species